rnacentral:rRNA from 1 species
UACGUAGGAGGCAAGCGUUGUCCGGAAUUACUGGGCGUAAAGCGCGUGUAGGUGGUGGGACAAGUCUGCUGUGAAAGCGCCUGGCUUAACCGGGCGAGGUCGGCGGAAACUGUCCGACUCGAGGACGGUAGAGGGGGGUGGAAUUCCCGGUGUAGUGGUGAAAUGCGUAGAGAUCGGGAGGAACACCUGUGGCGAAGGCGGCCCCCUGGGCCGAUAUCGACGCUGAGGAGCGAAAGCGUGGGGAGCGAACAGG